CUGGCCCAUUCGGAUGGACCGCUCGAUCGAGUGGGCCGCUCGAUCGAGUGGGCCCGUUCGAUCGAGUGGGCCGUUCGAUCGGCUGGU
rnacentral:miRNA from 1 species